UACGGAGGGGGCAAGCGUUGUUCGGAAUUACUGGGCGUAAAGGGCGCGUAGGCGGCGAGGCAAGUUGGGCGUGAAAGCCCUGGGCUUAACCCAGGAAUUGCGCUUGAGACUGCCUUGCUUGAGUGCGGGAGAGGUGAGUGGAAUUCCCAGUGUAGAGGUGAAAUUCGUAGAUAUUGGGAAGAACACCAGUGGCGAAGGCGGCUCACUGGCCCGCAACUGACGCUGAGGCGCGAAAGCGUGGGGAGCAAAC
rnacentral:rRNA from 1 species